UACGUAGGGUGCAAGCGUUAAUCGGAAUUACUGGGCGUAAAGCGUGCGCAGGCGGCUUUGCAAGACAGAUGUGAAAGCCCCGGGCUCAACCUGGGAAUGGCAUUUGGGACUGCAAGGCUUGAGUGCGGCAGAGGAGACUAGAAUUCCUGGUGUAGCAGUGAAAUGCGUAGAUAUCAGGAGGAAUACCGAUGGCGAAGGCAGGUCUCUGGGCUGACACUGACGCUCAUGCACGAAAGCGUGGGGAGCAAACAGG
rnacentral:rRNA from 1 species